UAGAAAGUAGUGUAGAGGAAGCACUAAGAGUUUUGAUCUCUUAAGUAUGGGUUCAACUCCCUUUUUUCUAG
rnacentral:tRNA from 1 species